GGAAUUGACGGGGCCCGCACAAGCGGUGGAGUAUGUGGUUUAAUUCGAUGCAACGCGAAGAACCUUACCUGGUCUUGACAUCCCAGAAAUCCCUUGGAAACUUGGGAGUGCUUCCAUUAGGAAGAAUCUGGAGACAGGUGCUGCAUGGCUGUCGUCAGCUCGUGUCGUGAGAUGUUGGGUUAAGUCCCGCAACGAGCGCAACCCUUGCCUUUAGUUGCCAGCAGUUCGGCUGGGCACUCUAAAGGGACUGCCGGUGUUAAACCGGAGGAAGGUGGGGAUGACGUCAAGUCCUCAUGGCCUUUAUGACCAGGGCUACACACGUACUACAAUGGCCGAUACAAAGGGCAGCGACAUUGCGAAAUGAAGCCAAUCCCAUAAAUUCGGUCUCAGUCCGGAUUGGAGUCUGCAACUCGACUCCAUGAAGUUGGAAUCGCUAGUAAUCGUGGAUCAGCAUGCCACGGUGAAUACGUUCCCGGGCCUU
rnacentral:rRNA from 1 species